rnacentral:rRNA from 1 species
UGGGCAACGGUAGGUCAGCAUGCCCCGAAUUAUCCGGGCUACACGCGGGCUACAAAUGGUCAGGACAAUGGGUAUCGACACCGAGAGGUGGAGGCAAUCUCCUAAACCUGUCCUUAGUUCGGAUUGUGGGCUGCAACUCGCCCACAUGAAGCUGGAAUCCGUAGUAAUCGCGUUUCAAAAUAGCGCGGUGAAUAUGUCCCUGCUCCUU